UGCCAUAGUGAUGAAAUGAGACGGCC
rnacentral:piRNA from 1 species